rnacentral:rRNA from 1 species
AUCAACUUUCGAUGGUAGGAUAGAGGCCUACCAUGGUGGUAACGGGUAACGGGGUGUUAGGGCACGACACCGGAGAGGGAGCCUGAGAAACGGCUACCACAUCCAAGGAUGGCAGCAGGCGCGCAAAUUACCCAAUCCCGACACGGGGAGGUAGUGACAAUAAAUAACAAUACGGGGUUCUUUAGGAUCUCGUAAUUGGAAUGAGUACAAUUUAAAUCUCUUAACGAGGAACAAUUGGAGGGCAAGUCUGGUGCCAGCAGCCGCGGUAAUUCCAGCUCCAAUAGCGUAUAUUAAAGUUGUUGCAGUUAAAAAGCUCGUAGUUGAAUUUCGGGGUCAGUAGGUUGGUCGUGCCACCGGUACGUACUGGUCUCACUGAUUCCUCCUUCCUGAUGAGCUGUAAUGCCAUUAAUUUGGUGUUGCAGGGAAUCUGGACUGUUACUUUGAAAAAAUUGGAGUGUUUAAAGCAGGCUAACGCUUGAAUACAUUAGCAUGGAAUAAUGAAAUAGGACGUUCGAUCCUAUUUUGUUGGUUUCUAGGAUUGACGUAAUGAUUAAUAGGGAUAGUUGGGGGCAUUAGUAUUCAAUUGUCAGAGGUGAAAUUCUUGGAUUUAUUGAAGACUAACUACUGCGAAAGCAUUUGCCAAGGAUGUUUUCAUUAAUCAAGAACGAAAGUUAGGGGAUCGAAGACGAUCAGAUACCGUCGUAGUCUUAACCAUAAACUAUGCCGACUAGGAAUCGGGCGACGUUAUUUUCAUGACUCGCUCGGCGCCUUAUGGGAAACCAAAGUGUUUGGGUUC